AGCAGUUAAUCGUCUCAUUUAGGGUGGUAGAAAAAUGAAUAAUUAAACUUAUGCCAUUUUCAUAUUUCAGGUAAUAAGAGGCCCUACGAUCCCAGGGGGGGCGUAGGAGAAGGCAGCAAAGUGUUGAAGACUGCUUCCUGCAAACAUAGGACAGAAUUGGGAAGAGAACACCAUAAAAAGGGUGUUUCUAGAUGUUUGGAGUCCUGGAACUACGCAGUGGCAGACUUGGUUGAGUCCACACAUUGCAGUGUCCCAGGACCUGGAUUCAAGCCCCCAGUUGCCACCUACAUAGCAGGGCAGCUGUGUGAGUGGCGAAACGGUUCUGCAGGAGUCUCUCUCCCUCUCUCUCCCUCUUGCUUCACAACUUCUCUCUGUCUCUAUUUAAAAUAAAUAUAUAAAUAAAAAGAUUUUUAAAAGUUUGGAGCACUUGUUAUG